rnacentral:rRNA from 1 species
UACGUAGGGGGCUAGCGUUGUCCGGAUUUAUUGGGCGUAAAGAGCGUGUAGGCGGCCAGGUAGGUCUGCUGUGAAAACUCGAGGCUCAACCUCGAGACGUCGGCGGAAACCAUCUGGCUAGAGUCCGGAAGAGGAGAAUGGAAUUCCUGGUGUAGCGGUGAAAUGCGCAGAUAUCAGGAAGAACACCCGUGGCGAAGGCGGUUCUCUGGGCCGAAACUGACGACUGAGGAGCGAAAGCGUGGGGAGCGAACAGG